rnacentral:rRNA from 1 species
UGGGGAAUAUUGGACAAUGGGCGAAAGCCUGAUCCAGCCAUGCCGCGUGUGUGAAGAAGGUCUUCGGAUUGUAAAGCACUUUAAGUUGGGAGGAAGGGCAGUAACUUAAUACGUUGCUGUCUUGACGUUACCGACAGAAUAAGCACCGGCUAACUUCGUGCCAGCAGCCGCGGUAAUACGAAGGGAGCUAGCGUUGUUCGGAAUCACUGGGCGUAAAGCGCACGUAGGUGGGCAGUUAAGUCAGGGGUGAAAGCCCGAGGCUCAACCUCGGAAUUGCCUCUGAUACUGGCUGUCUAGAGUUCGAGAGAGGUGAGUGGAAUUCCUAGUGUAGAGGUGAAAUUCGUAGAUAUUAGGAAGAACACCGGUGGCGAAGGCGGCUCACUGGCUCGAUACUGACACUGAGGUGCGAAAGCGUGGGGAGCAAACAGGAUUAGAUACCCCUGUAGUCCCUGAGCGGGCUGGCAAGGCGCAU